rnacentral:hammerhead_ribozyme from 1 species
AUCUAGCUGAUGAGCCCAAUAUAGGACGAAACACACAUCCUGGAU